rnacentral:rRNA from 1 species
GGGUUGUGAGGUUAAGCGACUAAGCGUACACGGUGGAUGCCCUGGCAGUCAGAGGCGAUGAAGGACGUGCUAAUCUGCGAUAAGCGUCGGUGAGGUGAUAUGAACCGUUAUAACCGGCGAUUUCCGAAUGGGGAAACCCAGUGUGUUUCGACACACUAUCAUUAACUGAAUCCAUAGGUUAAUGAGGCGAACCGGGGGAACUGAAACAUCUAAGUACCCCGAGGAAAAGAAAUCAACCGAGAUUCCCCCAGUAGCGGCGAGCGAACGGGGAGGAGCCCAGAGCCUGAAUCAGUGUGUGUGUUAGUGGAAGCGUCUGGAAAGGC